UAAUAAUGAAGCAAAAGUACUUUGGGACAAUGUGAACCCAUCAAAAAGGGGAGGACAUGCUCAUCUCAGGCAAGGCCAGGAGCUACCUGUAAGGGACAGGUACACUUGCAUGUGCUUAGCCCUAUUGAUAUGAUGCGAUGGGACUUGGUGAUCAAGGAGGUGGUCAUAGCCUGCAGCAGGACUGAAAGCAUGAACAUGACAACGUGCUUAUAACUCAGGAACCAGUGUCCAAUGAAAAAGCAACUUGGAAAAACAGCCAUUCAUUGAGAUCUCAAGGACGUCUGCAAACUCUGUCACUGUUGAGGAAACAAGACAACAGCAAAACAAUUGUGGUGUCAAGUUUCACUCUCAUAAUUCAAGAACUUUAAAAUGCUAUUUAUUUUACCUUCCUGUCUGUAAUAGACACCGUAACCCUUUUAAACAUAUUAUCUGUGUUUUUGUGUGCGUAUCACAUAAUGUUUUUACUAUUUUGAUUGGAGGGAUUGUGAGUAAUAGAUUUCAUUUUCCUUUCACCAAGAAACCUUGCAUUUUCGGCUAGUUCAUUUUAAACUGAUUAGAACAUAGAACAGUACAGCAGAGGAACAGGCUCUUUAGUCCACCAUUGCUGUGCUGACCAUGAUGCCAUUCUAAACUAAUCCCAUCUGCCAGGACAUGGCCUAUAUCCCUUUAUACCCCGUUUGUUCAUGGGUUUGUCUAAAUGGCUCCUAAACAUUGCUAUCAUAUUUGCUUCUACCAUCUCUCCUGAUAGUGCGUUCCAAGCAUCUACCACCUUCUGUGCAAAAUUUUCGCCACACAUAUCUCCUUUAAACUUUCACCUUUUUACCUUAAAGUUAUGCCCCCUAGGAUUUGACAUUGCCACCCGGGGUAAAAUACUCAAACUAUCUACUCGAUCCAUGCCCAUCAUAAUUUUUGUAUACUAUCAGUUCAUCCAUGAGCCCCAAUGCUCCAGCAAAAACAAUGCAAGCUUGUCUAAUCUCUCCUUCUAGCUAAGUCAUUCUAAUCAAAGCAACACCCUGGUAACCUACUUUUGCAUUAUCUACAAAGUUUCCACAUCUUUCCUUUAGGGUAAUGACAAAAAAUGCAUGUAAUACUCUAAAUGUGGUUUACCUAAAGUCUUAUGCAGCUGUGACAUGUUGUGCCAACUUUCACAUUCAUUACCCUAACUGGUGAAGGCAGGCAUGCCAUAUGCCUUCUUUGCCACCUUAUCUACUUGUGUUGCCACUUUCAGGAUGCUAUGGACAUUGCACGCCAAGAUUCCUCAAUAUAUCAAAUGCUCCUCAUGGUCCUGCAUCAUCCCAACUUGUUCAGAUUAAACUCCAUCUGCCAUUUCUCUGUCCAACUUUCCAACUGAUUUAUAUCCUGCUGGAUCCUUUGAUAACCUUCCUCAAUAUCCAGAACUUGACCAAACUUUGUGCCAACUGCAAACUUACUAAUCAGGCCACCUACAUCUACAUCAAAAUCAUUUAUAUGUUCCAGGCAACAAAGGUCUCAGCACAGGAUCCUUGGGUACACCUUGGUCACAGAUCUCUGGUCAGAAAAACACCCUUGCACAACUACCCUCCAUCUUCUAUGAGCAAAUAAAUUUUGUAUCCAACUUACUGUGGAUCCCAUGUGACUUAAUCUUCAGGGCCGGCCUACCAUGAAGGACCUUGUUAAAUGCAAUUGUCAAAUGUCAAAUGUCUUAGUAAUUGCAUUUUAAUUUAAGCAUGAUAGCUCAAAAAGAAAUAAGAUAACUUGUUAUGAUCAAAUAAAAGUGGGUUAAUAGAAGGGAACUGAUCAUGUCUCCUCAUCUGAUCAUAAUAAUACGUUAUGCAGUUUUUCUCUUUGUUAAGCUGUAGAAAACAAAAAGCAUACCAAACCUUCUCAUGAAGUUAUGUUAUGAUAAUGGUCGCGAAUAAACUGCAUAGUACUGUUGUAAUUACAGUUGACAAUUACAGAUAUUAUUUUAGCACUGGGAUUCUAUUGUUCUUUGUUCAUGGAUUGUGUGUGUUGCUAACAUGUAUAAAACAUUCUGAACCAGGCUUGACAAGGAGGAACCUUCUCACGUUGUUGUGGUCUAUGUGGUAGGUAAGCCCUCAGUGUUAUUAGGGAGAGAGAUCCAGGGUUUUGAUUUUACAACAGUGAGAUUUUGCAACAGUUUCAACACAAAAUCAUAAGUCGCUCAGAGGGGAAUAUGCAAAAGAUGGUGUUCUCAUAAACCUGCUGUGCUUUUUAAUCUUGGUAGCAGAAGUUUCAAGCCUGCAUCACUCCGAAAGCUAGUAUGCUUCCAA